UCCAUAACCCAGAUCAAGGGCACGCCAUCAUCAUUUCAUACGACUCUCCUGCGCAACGAGAUCGAGGUAUGGCUUCCCGAUCCCUCACGAUUCACAUCCGUGCUUUCGUAGUCGUAGGUCCGGUAUUGCUGCAUCCCACCUGCAUCUCUUGCGCGGGGGAUUAUAAUUUGUUAGUACCUCAGAUUUCUCUUGUUUUUGUUCUCGGUUGAUUGUUCAUUUGAGACGCAACGGAUAUGCGUUUGUGCGCAUGGAAAUGAGACUCCGGAAAAUUCAUGAAGGGACGGUAUAAUCGAAUUUUUAGGAUGGGGUGUGCUAGUUCAUGGUUUUGUUGAUGCCUCCAAGAUUUUGUUGUUCGUCGCAAACUUGGCCCGUUUCUUGUUGCUCUCUGAAUUCCUGUGCAAGGUUAAUUGUUCUUUCUGCAUGACCCUUUCUGUAUAAUUGACCGUAUAUGUAUUUGUGGUACGUUUGGAGAUACCAAACAUAUCACUUGUUGCAUGCUUAUUCCCAUGAAUCUGUUCGUUGAGUAGAGAUUGCAGGCAGCAAGCGCACGAAUUCCAUGAGGGGAAGCGCGAGGUCUCUAGUGGAAACUGCAACUAGACAAAUCAAACCCGGAAAUGGACUUGCAAGGUUGAUGACGAUUACUACUCCCCGGAAGAACAAGAAGGAGAUCAACGCUACUGAAUCUGUCCUCCCAAAGGAUGAAAACGUCGAGCCCCUCGUCGCUUUCAGCCGGCCGCCUCCUUUGCCACCGGUUCUAGGCCCCUUGAUCGCGCUCUCGCUUUUUCAGACUUCUUCUAGUGAUGAAGACAGCAAAUGAGUCGCCAGGGGGCUUCCUUGUUUGAUCGCUGAGUUGGUUACUUUUCGGAGCCUGGCCGUGUAUAUAGUCGGAGGUUGUAGACAUCAUGUUGCUGUAGUUGUCUGGCAAGUACUACGAAAUCUGAAUAAUGUAGUAGUCUUUUGUGUGACAACUUUUCAGACUGAACAAAUUUCGAAGUCUGUCA